CGUGCGGCCAGCGGGGGGCGUGGUGUGCACGUUAACCCUGGCGUUUCUGAACCCAGAGCGUCCCAAGUCUUUCUCGGUGGAUCUGCAGCUCACAGGUCUACAGACUGGUUGAUUUUACCUCAUGUAUAUCAAGGAAGAUGCCAUGCCAAUGAUCCCUCUCUGGUGAAGAAGAGAAAAUUCACAGGAUUUCAGUAGAAUUUUGUAAAACUUUCUUAGCAUGCAUUGGGAACUAUGGGAAAUGCACUUGUCUACACUUGCCGAAGAUUGAAUUGAGAAAAGGAAAAUCAUCGCAGACUCAACACACAUUAUGAAUCUCAAGCAGGAUCCAUUCAAAGAAAACCAUACCUAAGCACAUUGUGAUAAAACUGCUGAAAACCAAGAAUGAGGAGGAAUCUUAAGAGCAGCCAGAGAAAGAGACGCAUCACUUUCAAAGGAGCAAUGAGAAGACCGAGAGCUGACUUCUCCUCAGAAACAGUGGAAGCCUACAGAGAACAGAACAGCUUCAAUCCGUCCUAGCCUGGAAUUCGGGAGCUUCACUAAAGGAAAUACUAAAAGGGUGUUUUCAGGCAGAAAGGAAUGGUCCCAGAUAGAAGCCUGAAGAGUUAAAUCAACAACAGGAAUAGAUAAAAAAUAGAUAUUCAUACAAGGGAAUACUCAAAAUGCAUACAUAUAUGAGAAUAUUCACGCGAUCCUUGUUUCUAACAGCCAAAAUGUUAAUAUCCAAAUGCCUAGCAACAUUCAUCCAUGGAGUACUAUACUGCAAUGAAAGUUAAUAAAACAGACUGACGUUCCCACCGAAGAUGGAGUGAUAAAGACUAGAUUUACUCUCCUGCCUGAAAUAACAAGAACAACAAUGGACAAAAUGUAUGAAUAAAGGUUGUCGAGGCAUUGGCUGUCAGGCCGUGAACGGGAUUCCGAGGGGCAGAGGUCACUGCGGUAAGCCCUACGAUUGCCUGGACAGAACACAGGGCAGGGAGAGGAACCCGGGUGAAGCCUGGAAGGCUCCCUGAGUUGAGGAGAUCGCGUUGGAGUCUGAAGAGGCUAGGUGGCCAGAGUUUACAGGGCUGAGUGCCAGAGAUGAGAGAGCUGCAGACAGAGAGAGUUCUGGAGAUUUUCAGAGGGUCUCCCUCAAGUGUUCCGCUGAGUGUUGAUCAAUGCAUGCACUGGGGCCCUGAGUCUGCACUUUCUACCAAUCAACAUGGCUGUUGUGAGCACCUACAAUGCACCAAACUCUGAGGAGGGAUGUGGGAAACCAGAGCCAAAGCAGGUCUGUUCCUGCCCUUACAGGGCUCCCAGUCCAACUGAGGAGAGAAAGCACGUGCCCCUGACAGACACACAGCGCCCACCUGGAGAGUCUAAGCUAAGAGCCAGAACGGAUCAGAAGCAAAUGAGAAGAGGAAAGAGGGCCAGCUGCUCUAACCCGCACCCCCCUCCCCUCCCCGACUCCAGCACUCAGCAGAUGCAGGGGCAUGGUGAUAUGGGAGAGACAAGCCAGCUCCCCAGGGCUCAGGCUGCAGGAUGAGUCCUAGCUGGGCCCUGAGGUUGGUGACUGGAGGAAGCAAGAAUUGCUGUCCCUGGGACAGGGCGAGACCCUGGGCCGGGAGAUGGAGCUGGUGUGUGAUCUCAGAGGUCCCUGCCCUUUCUGGGUCUGUUUCCUCAUCUGGCCCCUGGGAUGCUCUUUAAGCUCCUUUUGCUCUGAGGGAGGUUUCUGCCAGCUGAGCUCUGGGCCUCAGUUUCCCUUGCCUACAAAGGGACAAUAAUCC
rnacentral:lncRNA from 1 species